AAGGGUCAUAUGGUGACUAGUAGCAUAGUUCACAUGAAGUUACUUGCGAUUAUAAAACUACUUUUUAGUCUUUCGCUCCUAUCUGAUGACGCUU